rnacentral:rRNA from 1 species
CCUCAAAUGGGGGCAUGUGCACGCUCUGUUUACACAUCCACUCACACCUGUGCACCCUCUGUAGUUCCAUGGCAUGGAGGCUCUGUCCUCCUGCUGCGGUUCUAUGUCUUUACACACACACUGUAACAAAGUCUCAUGGAAUGCAUAUCGCGUUUAACGCAAUACAAUACAACUUUCAGCAACGGAUCUCUUGGCUCUCGCAUCGAUGAAGAACGCAGCGAAAUGCGAUAAGUAAUGUGAAUUGCAGAAUUCAGUGAAUCAUCGAAUCUUUGAACGCACCUUGCGCCCUUUGGCUAUUCCGAAGGGCAUGCCUGUUUGAGUAUCAUGAACACCUCAACUCUCAUGGUUUUUCUGUGAAGAGCUUGGACUUUGGGGGUCUUGCUGGUCUAUAUGGUCAGCUCCUCUUAAAUGAAUCAGCUUGCCAGUGUUUGGUGCAUCGCAGGUGUGAUACUAUCUACGCUUGUGGUUUCCAUCAGUAC